rnacentral:lncRNA from 10 species
ACUUAUUCUCUCUCCUGCUGCCUGGCGAAGAGAUGCUUUCCGCCAUGAUUUUAAGUUUCCUGAGGCCUCCCCAGCCACAUGGAACUAUAUGACCAACAUAUGUGCUAGAGUGUCUGACGGAGAGAAGAAUUUAAUCGAUGUCUGUUGAAUUCGCUCAAGUAAAUAAAACAGAAAAACUGUUUUAUAAACGGCAACAAAGUGCAGUAGUCAUGCAACCACUAUUUCACUCUUCGAAUCUAUGAAAUUGACCAUUUUUGAUAUCUCAUAUUGGAGGUUUGUGGCAACCCUGUAUCAAGUAAGUCCACUGUUGCCAUUUUUCCAACAGCACACGCUAACUUCAUGUCUCUGUCACAGUUUAGUAAUUCUUAGAAUAGUUUAAUCUUUUUCAUUAUUAUUACAUCUGUUAUAGUGAUCAUUAUAUCUGAUACAGUGAAUAUAGUGAUAUCAUACUGUUAUAUUCAGUGGUCCCUGAAGCUGGCAGAGGUUGGCUCAUGAGGUGUAAGGAAAAAAGGCAUCUCUAUAACAUAAAAGUGCAAGGUGAAGCAGCAAGUGCUGAUGUAGAAGCUGCAGCAAGUUAUCCAGAAGAUGUAGCUAAGAUCACUGGUGAAGGCCACUAUAAUAAACAACAGAUUUUCAAUGUAGAGAAAACAGCCUUGUAUUUGAAGACAAUUUUAUCUAGGACUUUCAUAGCUAAAAAGGAGAAGUUAUUGCCUGCUUCAAAGCUUCAAAGGACAGGCUGACUUUCUUCUUAGUAGCUAAUGCACUUGGUGACUUUAAGUGGAAGCCAGUGCUCUUUUACCAUUCCAAAAAUCUCAGGGUCCUUAAGAAUUAUGCUAAAUCUACUCUGCUUAUGCUCUGCAAAUGAACCAACAAAGCCUGGAUGACAGCACAUCUGUUUACAGCAUGGUUUACUGAAUAUUUUGAGCCCACUAUUGAAACAUAUGUUAAAAAAAAAUUAUUGCUCACUGACAAUGUAGGUAGUCGCCCAAGAGCUCUGAUGGAGAUUUACAAGGAGAUUAAUGUGUUUUCAUGCCUGCUAACACAACUUGCAUUUUGUAGCACAUGGAUCAAGAACUAAUUGUGACUUUCAAGUCUUAUUAAUUAUUUAAGAAACACAUUUGGUAAGACUAUAGCUGCUAUAAAUUGUGAUUCCUCUUACUGAUCUGGGAAAACCCAACUGAAAACCUUCUAGAAAGAUCCACAAUUCUAUAUACCAUUACAAACAUUCGUGAUUCAUGGGAAAAGACAAAAAUAUCGACAUUAUCGGGAAUUUGGAAGAAGUUGAUUUCAACCCUUGUGGAUGGCUUUGAGGGGUUCUAGCAUUCAGUGGAGGAUGUAACAGCAGAUGUGGAUGUGGUGGAAACAGCAAGAGAACUAGAAGUGGACACUGAAGAUGGGCUGAAUUGCUACAAUCUCAUGAUAAAACUUGAACAAAUGAGGAGUUGCUUCUUACGGAUGAGCAAAGAAAGUGGUUUCUUGAGAUGGAAUCUACUCCUGGUAAAGAUGUUGUGAACAUUCUUCAAGUGACCCAAAGGAUAUAGAAUAUUAGAUGAACUUAUUUGAUAAAGCAGUGCCAGGGUUUGAGAGAAAUGACUCCAAGUUUUAAAAGUUCUGUGUGGGUAAAAUGCUAUCAAAUAGCACUGCAUACUACAGAGAAAUCUUUUGUGAAAGGAAGAGUCAGUCAAUGCAGCCAGCUUCAUUGUUGUCCUAUUUUAAGAAAUUGCCAUAGCCAUCCAACCCUCAGCAACCACCACUUUAAUCAGUCAGCAGCCAUCAACAUUAAGGCAAGACCCUCCACCAGCAAAAAUACAAAGACUUGCUGAAGUCUUAGAUGAUCGUUAGUGUUUGUUAUACAUUUUGUGAAUUAAAGAAUAGAGUAUUCUUUAAUUAAGGUAUGUACUUUUUUUAGACAAAGUGCUAUCACACAAUUAAGAGACUACAGUAUAUAGUAAACAUAACUUUUAUACACAAUGGGAAAACAAAAAACUUGUGUGACUCACUUAAUUGCAAUUUUCACUCUAUUGUGGUUGUGGUGAUCUGGAACCAAACCCUCAGCAUCUUUGAGGUAUGCCUGUGUGUGUGCGCACAACUUGACCCUGAGUUAACUGUCUUAUUCUUCUCUUUUAUUUCUUAGCAAAUUUGCCAUGAUUUAAAAAAGAAAAACAGCUUAUAUUUAUAUUCCUACUUCCUCAUUCCUCAUUUACUUCUCAACCAUCUGUUGGCUUUUGCUCAUAUCACUUUAUGUAAGAGAGGUCAUGCCAAAGCUAUAUACAUGGUUCCUUGUUCCUGGAGGGGAUAUCCAUUUGAAACAGAUAUAAAUAUGUGUGGAUAUAUAUAUAUGUAUGUAUGUAUGUAUGUAUGCAGGCUUUUAUAUAUGUAUUACUGUGUAUCACAGAACUUUGUUAUAGCCUCUGAAGUUAGAAAAACAAACAAUAUAAUAUGCAGUUCCAAGAAUAUUUUAAUUUUUAUGUUAGAGACAAAAUUAAAUGAAACAUCACCACAACUGAAUGUUAACUACUUAAUUUUCACAAUUGCCUUGGCAUUAAUAAAGGUUAUAUGUUUUCAGG